GCCAGUGUGGCAUAGUGGUUUGAGCAUUGGACUACGACUCUGGAGACCAGGGUUCGAGUCACCGCUUGGCCA